rnacentral:rRNA from 1 species
AUUGAACGCUGGCGGCAGGCCUAACACAUGCAAGUCGAGCGGAUGAAGGGAGCUUGCUCCUGGAUUCAGCGGCGGACGGGUGAGUAAUGCCUAUGAAUCUGCCUGGUCGUGGGGGAUAACGUCCGGAAACGGGCGCUAAUACCGCAUACGUCCUGAGGGAGAAAGUGGGUGAUCUUCGGACCUCACGCUAUCAUAUGAGCCUAGGUCGGAUUAGCUAGUUGGUGGGGUAACGGCCUACCAAGGCGACGAUCCGUAACUGGUCUGAGAGGAUGAUCAGUCACACUGGAACUGAGACACGGUCCAGACUCCUACGGGAGGCAGCAGUGGGGAAUAUUGGACAAUGGGGGAAAGCCUGAUCCAGCAAUGCCGCGGGUGUGAAGAAGGUCUUCGGAUUGUAAAGCACUUUAAGUUGGGAGGAAGGGAAGUAAGUUAAUACCUUGCUGUUUUGACGUUACCAACAGAAUAAGCACCGGCUAACUUCGUG